UUGGAACUGAGACACGGUCCAAACUCCUACGGGAGGCAGCAGUGGGGAAUAUUGCACAAUGGGCGAAAGCCUGAUGCAGCAACGCCGCGUGAGUGAUGAAGGCCUUCGGGUCGUAAAACUCUGUCCUCAAGGAAGAUAAUGACGGUACUUGAGGAGGAAGCCCCGGCUAACUACGUGCCAGCAGCCGCGGUAAUACGUAGGGGGCUAGCGUUAUCCGGAUUUACUGGGCGUAAAGGGUGCGUAGGCGGUCUUUCAAGUCAGGAGUGAAAGGCUACGGCUCAACCGUAGUAAGCUCUUGAAACUGGGAGACUUGAGUGCAGGAGAGGAGAGUGGAAUUCCUAGUGUAGCGGUGAAAUGCGUAGAUAUUAGGAGGAACACCAGUUGCGAAGGCGGCUCUCUGGACUGUAACUGACGCUGAGGCACGAAAGCGUGGGGAGCAAACAGGAUUAGAUACCCUGGUAGUCCACGCUGUAAACGAUGAGUACUAGGUGUCGGGGGUUACCCCCUUCGGUGCCGCAGCUAACGCAUUAAGUACUCCGCCUGGGAAGUACGCUCGCAAGAGUGAAACUCAAAGGAAU
rnacentral:rRNA from 1 species